AAGGUCAAUUCUUACUUAGUUUACACAUGCAAGUCUCCGCACCCCUGUGAGAACGCCCUUAAACCCCUUUAAGGGGCAAGGAGCUGGUAUCAGGCACAAAAUUUAGCCCAAGACACCUAGCUAUGCCACACCCACAAGGGAAAUCAGCAGUGAUUAACAUUGAGCAUGAGCGACAGCUCGACUCAGCUAAAGUAAAAAGAGCCGGCUAAUCUGGUGCCAGCCGCCGCGGUUACACCACGUGGCUCAACUGACCCUUUUCGGCGUAAAGCGUGAUUAAAGGGAUUUUUUUUGGUGUUAAAAAAGUACUAAGCUGUGACACGCUUGUCCUUGAGAAAAUCAAAAACGAAAGUUACACCAAUCCAGCCGACUUGA
rnacentral:rRNA from 1 species